GACAGAGGAUGCAAGCGUUAUCCGGAAUGAUUGGGCGUAAAGCGUCUGUAGGUGGCUUUUUAAGUCCGCCGUCAAAUCCCAGGGCUCAACCCUGGACAGGCGGUGGAAACUACCAAGCUGGAGUACGGUAGGGGCAGAGGGAAUUUCCGGUGGAGCGGUGAAAUGCGUAGAGAUCCGGAGGAACACCGACGGCGUAGGCAGCGCCCUGGCUGUGAAUAAAGCUGACACGGAGGCACGAAAGCUGGGGGAGAAAACAGG
rnacentral:rRNA from 1 species